rnacentral:lncRNA from 1 species
CUGUCACUAUAUGAAUAUCCUGGAGGUCAAGUUAAUUAUUAUUUUUUUAAAUAUUUUGCAGGCUCUGUGCAAUUCAAUACAGUGUCACACUUGGUGCGUGCCAGCUUUGCGCCUGAAGUAAAAGAGCCAGGGAACUGUACCAGAUCAGACCUCCGAGGAAGAAGCUUUUGCUGGAAUCCAUGACCACACAGAAGGAAAAUGGAGACAGCAACCUUGUCUCCCAAAGGUGUUGUGGGACUUCUCACCUUCUGGAAAUCCUGCUUGCACGGCUGCUUCAUUCCACUGUUUUCCCAGAUUGAUGCUUUACCUUACUGAUUUGCUGUGGAAGGAUUACCAUCGCAGCUUGUCCGCACUGCUCAAACGUGGUAAGUGCAGAGAUGAAAAUAUGAGCUCAUUUCUUUAGAGAGACUGUGUAGUUCUGAAACUACUGGAAAGUAUGUAUACAUUGGGAGGGGGAAGAGAGAAAAGCUGUUUAGGUUUUAUUGCUUUGAUUUGAAUAAAAAAGAGAUUCUUCUGUAAGAGCUGGAGGUU